GACGAACCGUGCGAACGUUGGUCGGAAUCACUGGGCUUAAAGGGUGCGUAGGCGGGUUGUCCAGUCUGGGGUGAAAUCCCACGGCUCAACCGUGGAAUUGCCUCAGAUACUGACGACCUCGAGGGAGGUAGGGGCGAGCGGCACUGUGGGUGGAGCGGUGAAAUGCGUUGAUAUCCACAGGAACUCCGGUGGCGAAGGCGGCUCGCUGGACCUCUUCUGACGCUGAGGCUCGAAAGCUAGGGGAGCAAACGGG
rnacentral:rRNA from 1 species